ACUAAUACUAGCCUAAUUCAAUUUACACUAAACUAUAAUUAUAUUUAAACUAAAACAUUCACAAUCUUUUUCAAAGUAUAGGAGAUAGAAAUUUAACUUUAGCGCUAUAGAGAUAGUACCGUAAGGGAAAGAUGAAAGACAAAUUUAAAGUACUAAACAGCAAAGAUUAAACCUUUUACCUUUUGCAUAAUGAAUUAACUAGACUAAUUUGACAAAGAGCCCUUAAGCCAAAAUCCCCGAAACCAGACGAGCUACUUAAAGGCAGUCUUUUGGACAAACUCGUCUAUGUAGCAAAAUAGUGAGAAGACCUUUAAGUAGAGGUGAAAAGCCAACCGAGCCUGGUGAUAGCUGGUUACCCAGAAAACAGAAUUUAAGUUCAACCUAAGAUUUACCAAAAAAGACUUAAUAGCACCUCAUGUAAUUCUUAGUUCUAAUCAAAAGAGGUACAGCUCUUUUGAUAAAGGAUUCAACCUUAAUUAGAGAGUAAUAAUAAUUUAUAUCAUAGUUGGCCUAAAAGCAGCCAUCAAUUAAGAAAGCGUUCAAGCUCCACAUAAAAUCAUUAAUAAUACCAUAAACUAUGUACAACUCCUAAUUUAACUACUGGGUCAAUCUAUAUAUAAAUAGAAGAGUUAAUGUUAAUAUAAGUAACAAGAAUCAUAUUCUCCACGCACAUCUUUAUUUCAAAACUAAUAAUAACUGAUAGUUAACAAUAAAAUAGAAUUAUACACAUAAUAAAUCCAAUCUAUUAAAUAUAUUGUUGAUCCAACACAGGAGUGCACCCAAGGAAAGAUUAAAAGAGAUAAAAGGAACUCGGCAAUUACAAAUCCCGCCUGUUUACCAAAAACAUCACCUCUAGCAUUAACCAGUAUUAGAGGCACUGCCUGCCCAGUGACAUACGUUUAACGGCCGCGGUACUCUGACCGUGCAAAGGUAGCAUAAUCAUUUGUUCUCUAAUUAAGGACUUGUAUGAAUGGCCACACGAGGAUUUAACUGUCUCUUAUCUCCAAUCAGUGAAAUUGACCUUCCCGUGAAGAGGCGGGAAUAAGCAUAUAAGACGAGAAGACCCUAUGGAGCUUUAAUAAAUUAACUCACCAAUUUUGUAUAUUUCCCAAAAGGCAAAAAAUAUUAUUCCCUGAGUUAACUAUUUCGGUUGGGGUGACCUCGGAGUAUAAAAUAACCUCCGAAUGAUUAACAUCUAGACCUACAAGUCAAAAUUUAAAUCAAUUAUUGACCCAAUAAAUUGAGCAACGGACCAAGUUACCCUAGGGAUAACAGCGCAAUCCUGUUACAGAGUCCAUAUCGACAACAGGGUUUACGACCUCGAUGUUGGAUCAGGACAUCCUAAUGGUGCAGCAGCUAUUAAAGGUUCGUUUGUUCAACGAUUAAAGUCCUACGUGAUCUGAGUUCAGACCGGAGUAAUCCAGGUCGGUUUCUAUCUAUAUAAAUAUUUCUCCUAGUACGAAAGGACAAGAGAAAUAAGGCCUACUUCACCAAAGUGCCUUAAUAAAAAUUAUGAAAUAAUCUUAAUAAUAAUUAUUAUAACAAUACCCUAGAACAGGGUUC
rnacentral:rRNA from 1 species